rnacentral:rRNA from 1 species
UACAGAGGGGGCGAGCGUUGUUCGGAAUUACUGGGCGUAAAGGGCGCGUAGGCGGCCCGCUAAGUCGAACGUGAAAUCCCCAGGCUCAACCUGGGAACUGCGUCCGAUACUGGCAGGCUUGAAUCCGGGAGAGGGAUGUGGAAUUCCAGGUGUAGCGGUGAAAUGCGUAGAUAUCUGGAGGAACACCGGUGGCGAGGGCGGCAUCCUGGACCGGUAUUGACGCUGAGGCGCGAAAGCUAGGGGGAGCAAACGGGG